GACAACAAGAAUUCAGAUAGAGGAGUGGAGGGAGAGAGAGUGACCCCCAUAGUGCACACAGGAGAGAGAGUGAUAGUGCACACAGGAGAGAGAGUGAUAGUGCACACAGGAGAGAGAGUGAUAGUGCACACAGGAGAGAGAGUGACCCCAUAGUGCACACAGGAGAGAGAGUGAUAGUGCACACAGGAGAGAGAGUGAUAGUGCACACAGGAGAGAGAGUGACCCCCAUAUGCACACAGGAGAGAGAGUGACCCCAUAGUGCACACAGGAGAGAGAGUGACCCCAUAGUGCACACAGGAGAGAGAGUGAUAGUGCACACAGGAGAGAGAGUGACCCCAUAGUGCACACAGGUGAGAGAGUGACCCCAUAGUGCACACAGGAGAGAGAGUUAUAGUGCACACAGGAGAGAGAGUGACCCCAUAGUGCACACAGGUGAGAGAGUGAUAGUGCACACAGGAGAGAGAGUGACCCCCAUAGUGCACACAGGUGAGAGAGUGAUAGUGCACACAGGAGAGAGAGUGAUAGUGCACACAGGAGAGAGAGUGAUAGUGCCCACAGGAGAGAGAGUGACCCCAUAGUGCACACAGGUGAGAGAGUGACCCCAUAGUGCACACAGGUGAGCAAGAGAGAAGAGUCAGCACGAGCAGAAAGCUAACAGAGGAAAGACUGAACUGAGGGACGUACACACAAUGAGAAAGCAUCAAUCGUCUGUUUAAUCUUACAGUCUGACUACCAAC
ensembl:lncRNA